rnacentral:rRNA from 1 species
GAUGAACGCUGGCGGCGUGCUUAACACAUGCAAGUCGAACGGAAAGGCCCUGCUUUUGUGGGGUGCUCGAGUGGCGAACGGGUGAGUAACACGUGAGUAACCUGCCCUUGUCUUUGGGAUAACUUUAGGAAACUGGGGCUAAUACCGGAUAGGAGCUCCUGCUGCAUGGUGGGGGAUGGAAAGUUUCGGCGGUUGGGGAUGGACUCGCGGCUUAUCCGCUUGUUGGUGAGGUAGUGGCUUACCAAGGCUUUGACGGGUAGCCGGCCUGAGAGGGUGACCGGCCACAGUGGGACUGGGGUACGGCCCAGACUCCUACGGGAGGCAGCAGUGGGGAAUAUUGCACAAUGGGCGGAAGCCUGAUGCAGCAACGCCGCGUGCGGAAUGACGGCCUUCGGGUUGGAAACCGCUUUCGCCUGUGACGAAGCGUGAGUGACGGUAUGGGUAAAGAAGCACCGGCUAACUACGUG